GGAAUUUUUUUUUUGCUUUUUGUCUUUUGCCGCGCACAAACCCGUUCGAGUAUGGUUCGAGCCCUGUCCAUGCACAGCUAGUGAGAGCCUAUUCCCUUUUGUGAGGCAUCAGCAUACCGGUCUUCAUGAAAGCAAAGCUCGUCCAGUGAGGCGCAAGAAGUUGACGACGGUAUAGAAGAUGAUAAAGGAAAAGUUAUUUGCUGGCUUUGCGGCUGCGUAAGGUGGGAGGUUAUUGACUGUGCCAGGCCUGCAGCUGUGGUCGCCGACAGAACGGCUGCUGGAAAUCUGCAACAUCGUCUAAAGCUUGCCUGACCAGAGCUCGACAUCGCACUCCAGGGAAAGAGCAGUGACGCGUGGCUGACUCGAAAAAUGAUCGUCACUGGAUCACAGAAGCACCUUCAUACACACUGUGUCUGUCUGCAAGCAUAAGGCGGCAUUCUUUCUCGGCACGCUUUUUUGCCAUGACUGGGCUAGGUGGCAUCAUUAUUGUGUAGUUGGGCUAGCCAAGUUGUGCGACUAACACAAGAUGACGAAUUCAAGGUAUCAAAGACUGUGCACUGUAACGCCGCCCCUCAGACGCUCUGCCAGAAUCAGCUGUGCGCGUGCUGCAGGUUUGGGCACCUGCAUCACGCAUUCCACCGACGACGAAGCCGACUCAGCGUCCCUAUCAACGAUGAUGGCGUCAAUGAAAUUGACGAUGCCAUAUCUGUGGCCACGAAGGUGCCGCGUUUGCAAGAAGACAUUGUCCGGCAGAGGGGCACUCGUCAAGCACAUGCGCUCACACACGGGGGAAAAGCCGUUUUCCUGUUCCUCGUGUCCGGCCGCCUUUAGUUCUCAAUCCCUGCUUAGGUUACACCUCCGAACGCACUCUGGUGAGAGGCCUUACAAGUGCGACAUUUGCGAAAGCUCCUUCACUCAGCGAACUCCACUGAUCCACCACCGACGUACUCACACGGGCGAGAGGCCGUAUGAAUGCUCUCUCUGUCCAGCAACAUUUGCAAAGCUUG
rnacentral:lncRNA from 1 species